rnacentral:lncRNA from 1 species
AUUUCCUUUUCCUCUCCUCCUGGUUAAAGAGAUGAUUACAGAGAACACACAGGACUCAACGGUACCCGGCAAAGCAGCCCACACCGGGAUCUUUGGAUCCUCCAGGCAGGGCUGUGGUCUGAAGCUUUUUGGUCUUUCCUAUCCAAGGCCGGGCCACCCGGUUCAACUGAGAGGCCGGCCGCCGAACUCCGUCCAGACACGUAAUUAAACAGGGCGGCAGCCUGUGUUCCAGAAUGGUGACGGGAUUUUCGGGAAGCGUCUGUGAGUAAAAUCAGUAGCACCCUCACCUAGCUAUGACCAUAUUUGGUGAACAGAAGGCAAUUUUCCUUACUGGUGAACAUUUAAGGUCAAGUCUACUAAUUGUUUCUAUAAAUAUAACUUGAGCCCAAGAUUCAUCCCUCGCAAAAUUAAUCUCACACAGUCGGAUGAAUACAGUGCUAUGAAGAAUGCCACAGUCGGAGCAGUGUGUCAGUGACCCUCGCCACGUUAUGAAGCCUCUCUUUGCGAGAGCCAAGAGAAGACAAGAAUGUGACCUUAUGCUGACUUUGUGCACCACUGUCCCUGUGAACAGCCCCGGCCUGCUGAGAAUGUCACUCUGGCCAGCCCAUUUCCAGUCGUACCACCUUCUUCCUAUCUGCAGUGCUUCGAGUACUUUAAAAACAUCUCGGGAGGAUGGACCACCUAGAUUUAAUUCUCUAAACUUUUCUGAAGAGAGCAGAACUCGUCCUUUGCUAAGAGCGCCGAAGGACAGACUUCCAUACCCUCCGAGUCCGGAGCGAGAGGCAGUGGUGGAGGAGGAAGAAAACUCAGCUCGCGUGCUGUUGCUGUAACUGCCCUGGAAACCACAGACGACUCAACGCGUUUCCAGAUGCGCCGCACCCGGACUCUCACUGCCUGAGAGGGCUGAUGGGAAGGGGCUCGGGACUGAGCCCACCUGCGCUCAGACUCCCCGUGCAGCCUCCGUGCUAUUGACUUCGUUUUGCCUGUGCCAAACAGGCUCAGAAAACGCUUCUUUUUUCUCCCCUUUCCUCCCUCCAGAAAGCAGAGCUGCAUUUCUCAGUCUAGCAAUUUGAAAAUUUAUUUCACAUUCAAUUUAUUUCGCUUAUCACUUAGAUUUUAUUUAUUUGAAUUUUCAUUUUGGUCAAUGUGAAAUAAAGCAUAGUAAGAUUCCAGGACAAUAAACAUCACUGUGUAGAUGUCUCUUCCACAUUAUUGAUUUCAAUUCCUUCACAUAUACACCCAAAUGUGGGAUUCCUGGAUCAAAUAGUAGUUUUAUUUUUAUGUUUAAAGGAAGCUCUUAUUAUUUUCCAUGAUGGUUGUGUCAAUUUACAGUUCCACCACCCAUGAACUAAGGUUCCCUUUUCUUUAAACCCUUGAUAGUUUAUCUGUGGAGGCAAUUUAACAACAACAGAUGCUUGAAUAAAGACAAUGUCUCUGUAUGCAGGUGUCUCUGUAUGCAGUGAAAUACUAUGUAGCCUUCAAAAAGGAGGGAUUCUGCCAUUUGCAGCAACAUGAACCUGGAACAUGUUAUGCUGUGUGAAGUAAGUCAGGCACAGAAAGACAAUAUCACAGGAUCUCACUUGGCUAUGGAAUCUAAAAAAGUCAAGGACAUAAAAGCAGAGACUAGAAUGGUGAUUCCAAGAGACUAGGAUAGGGCUGGAUAGAGAAAGGAGAGAUGUUGGUGAAAGGGUACAAAGUUUCAACUACAAAGGAAAAGUAAGAUUCAGUGAUCUAUUGUACAGAAUGGUGAGCAGAAACAAUGGCGUAUGCUUGUAAUCCCAGGAUUCAGGAGGCUGAGGCAGGAAGUGAAUUUAAACUAGACUCUGUCUCAAAGAAAGCAAGCAAGCAAGCAGGCAGGCAGAAUGGCGACUAUAAUAAAAUGCCUUGCAUAUUUCAAACUUGCUUAAUUCUUAGAUUUCAAAUGUUAUCCUCAGAAAAGAAAUCGGUAAAUAUGUGAGGUGAAGGCUAUGUUAUUUAAAUUUAUUUUAAAAUGUGAACAUGUAGCAAAACAUUACCCCGUACCUUACAUAUACAAUUAUUUGUCAAUUUAAAAAGUUUAAUAGUAAAACUUAAAUUUAAAAAUGGAUUCAAGGCCGGGGGAGGGGGGUCAACAUUCAACAUCCUCAAAGGGAGAACUUCAUAAAAGCAUGCCUGAUGUUGCCUUCAUCAGGUGUAUUUCUUUUUUUUUUUUAAGAUCAAAGAUUUGGCAGAGAUGAAAGACCCCCAACUUUGUACAGAAACAUAAAUUAGCCAGGAGGAACUUCUUAAGUGGAAACAUUCAUAUAAUGACCUUCUUUAUUUCCACCUUUCUAUCUAAUAAACUUUCUCAGAAACCUUAAAAAUGGAAUGAAAGAAAGUCUUAUUUCUAUGAGAUUAUGGCUGCAGUCCAGAAGAAAAUUAAAACAUAU